rnacentral:rRNA from 1 species
AGUGAACGCUGGCGGUAGGCCUAACACAUGCAAGUCGAACGGCAGCACAGUAAGAGCUUGCUCUUACGGGUGGCGAGUGGCGGACGGGUGAGGAAUACAUCGGAAUCUACUUUUUCGUGGGGGAUAACGUAGGGAAACUUACGCUAAUACCGCAUACGACCUACGGGUGAAAGCAGGGGAUCUUCGGACCUUGCGCGAUUGAAUGAGCCGAUGUCGGAUUAGCUAGUUGGCGGGGUAAAGGCCCACCAAGGCGACGAUCCGUAGCUGGUCUGAGAGGAUGAUCAGCCACACUGGAACUGAGACACGGUCCAGACUCCUACGGGAGGCAGCAGUGGGGAAUAUUGGACAAUGGGCGCAAGCCUGAUCCAGCCAUACCGCGUGGGCGAAGAAGGCCUUCGGGUUGUAAAGCCCUUUUGUUGGGAAAGAAAAGCAGCGGGUUAAUACCCCGCUGUUCUGACGGUACCCAAAGAAUAAGCACCGGCUAACUUCGUG